UGAAGACUGCCAAAUCCAUGCUAAGAACCCUCACUAUAAAGCACCAGUGAUUUUGAAGGUUCUCGAUAUCUUUCUCCACCAAAUGAGUUCCUGUGACAUCCAAGGACUUGGCUGGGAGAUACUCCUUUGGUCUGGAUAGGAUUUCCUCGUUUCCAAAUCAUCGGCGGGCGAGUGAUUGUCUUCCUUAUCUGGCUCUUGAAGGCAAUAAACCGAGUUUCAAGGAGAGGCAAAGAAACCGUGACCCGGAUACUGCCGGAGCUGCCGCGGUCGGGGCGCCCGAGCCCUAAUUAAAAGCGUCGUGGCCGCCUCUGGUUCCCGGCUGUGCGCCCAGGAGCGCGCCCUGAGGCUUUGGGCCGGGCACCCCCCACCCCCGCGCCUGGUCUGCUCAUCUCCGGGCUUCAGGCCCCCGCCCCAGCCCCUUGGAAAAGAGCAAGGCGAGCAGCCGAGCCCACCAGGGACGAGCGACCUACAUCGCGCGCAGAUACUGGGGCACCGCGAGCGCGCGUGGCCGCCGGGUCUGUCCGCCCGACUCCUGCCGAGAACGCGGCCCAGGCUGCGACCUUCGGGGUGGGUGGGGGGACAUCGUCCGGGGUUCGGCUGCCUAGACCUGCCCGAUUUUCCGCUGCCCCCAACCCCUCCUCUGUGAGGAACCUGGUAAGGCGCGCAAGUGCAGGGCGGCCCCCACCACCCCGCGUUGGGCCUCAGCUACCCUGGCGUUUCUGGGGUACCCAAGUGCGCGGCCAUGUGCCCCCAUCCUCCGCCCCGAUC
rnacentral:lncRNA from 1 species